UCGCUGACCACAGUCAGCAUGACUAAAGAGGCAAGCUUCCUUCUUUUCUGAAGGACAGCCUGUGCAGCCAACAGAAGCUGGAGUAAUGGAGGAGCUUUCUCUCUCAACUCCGGUUUGAGGGAAAGUCUAACUGCACUCCUGAUCCAGAUGUAAUGAAGGCGCCGUCAAAAUAGUUUACGGUGGCAUAACUCACUGCAAACAAGGUGACAAAUGGAGUUAGGGGAGGGAAACUGCAGAACAAGAUGAGGAAAAAUUAUGAAGACCUGCUCAAGCAGUGGUUGACUAAAGACUGAGGUGCUUUCAUGUCCCUGGUACAGGUGGCAUUUUGGCAACAGACUGUGGUCCUAUUCUAACAGCACCAGCCAGUCUUUCAACAACUUACAGAGAUGUACCUCUUCGUUAAGCACCAAACAUAUCAGUUAUACCAAAGAAUGGUCUAGCAGAUAUUGGGGGUGAAUCAUGGGGACCUCCCAAAAGCAGCAGCUGAAGAAGUGGAACUUAGCCCAGACAUACAUGACCAAGCUGAUAUAUACUACUGUAAUGUGCAUUAUGAAACUGAAGGGGGAAAAUCAUAAUUAUAGAACCAUCCUCUUGCU